rnacentral:lncRNA from 1 species
AGAACCUCUUCUCUCUUCGCUGCUUCUUCUUUGCUUUCAUAAAGCCCAGCUUCAACCAGAAAUAUCAACCCCAAAGGAAAUCAAAAUAAGGGUUUCAUAUAUAAAAAAAAAAGUAAUUAUAGAUAAAGAUAAAACAAAACCUUUUCUAAGUCACGAGUUCUUUAUAUAUCAGCCUCUGUGGAUUCUAUAACUGAUAUUGGUUUCGUCUAAUUAGUUGGCGACGGCGACAAACUCAUUCUCUCUGAACUCAACAUUAAAAACAAUAAAAUACCCCUAACAAAAAAAGCCCUAAUUUUUUUAAUCUGACUUUCGAACCCUAACUUUGGCCAAGUUCUUCACAACACUUUCUAGGCAUCUUUCCAGGGGUAUUUUAGCUCAAGGAUGGCGGCUUUGAAGGUUUACAGCAGCGGCUUGUGAGGUAGAUCGUUAUUAGAGAGAGAGAGGUAGAGAAAGAGGGGGGGGGGGGGGGGGNN